rnacentral:lncRNA from 1 species
AUGCAAAGAACUGCCUUUUUAUUUCAUGUCACUUCCUGUGAGAGGGACUUUUGCGGCUUUUUGAGGUGGUUCUUGAUUUAUAGGGCUGCAGUGUGGAGACCUGAGACUGCUUCCCUUAGGAGACCACAUGUAUUAAUUCUAAGAUGGAAGAUAAGGGUUUCAAAAGAAGAAAAGAAAAGAAAACCUCAAAUGGAGGCACAAAAAGGUGUAUAUGACUGAACAACAACAAUAAAUUCCCUCUCAUGGUGGUCUUCUAGCA